UCCACCCCCCUUUUCUGCCAGGCAGGAAGACACUGCUAAAAAAAUACCCAAAAGGUGCUCAGUCUUCUUCUGGGGUCACCUGUCCCAUUGUCAAGCAUUUAGGUGGACUCUCUUUUCUUUUUGUCUCAUCAACGCCAUCAAUUGAGAGCCCUAUUCUCUGCUUCUGCCCAGCACUGUUUUGAGGGAGUCCCAGCUGAAACUGAGGUCUCAUCCCAGCGCUAGGCAAGAAGUUGGCUUCUGAGUUGCCUGUCAUUUGGCUCAGUGGCCCCUUUGCAUUCUAGUUUUGUGUCGGAACGGGAGGUACUGCUCCAUGUGGUAUAUAAUUCCGCCCCAUUUCCUCUUUCCUCAUCUUCCCCCUGUUAGUGGAAUAGCUCCAUGCCAUGCACCCCCUCCCCUCUGGGAAUUUAUUCCCAGUUUAUGAAACAGCACCAGUCGUUUCUCUCCUGAAGCCAACGCCUUGAAGCUGGCUGUCUCCUUGAGCAGCGGUAUUGAGAUAAGUGGCCCUUGGUAUGUGGCUUUAUUGGGUGCGGUGGGCCUUUUGCAGGGAGGGAUGGAGCCAGUGAGGCUGCCUUAGGCCCCUUCCACAUGGCUGAAUCAAAUCCCACAUUUUUUGCUUUGAGCUGGAAUAUAUGGCAGUGUGGACUCAGAUAACUGGGCUGUGGUGCAGCUGGUUAGUAGCCUGCUGUAAUAAAUCACUACUAAACAAGCCUGAGUCGGAUUGAGUGUCUGACUGUUAAAUAGCCCCAGCUCGUUGUUUACCUAAGCAACUCGAAAGACAGUUGCAUCUGUCAAGUAGGAAAAUUUAGGGACCGCUUAUGCGGGGAGACUAAUUUAACUGAUUUACAACACCAUAAAAAAAGUCCAGCAGCGUGCGUGUUGGAUGAGGAAGUACUCCAUCAAAAGGUCUUGUCACAGUGGAUGACGAAGCAGCAGCUUCUCCUGUGGCCGGAAUUGAUCAUACCCUCACAAACCCAGAAGCUGGAAAGUUAAAUAGCCUCUGUGUCUGUCUGUCUGUGUGUUGUAUGUCUAAUAAUGCCAUUGAAUGUUUGCCAUAUGCACAUUGUGAUCUGCCCUGAGUCCCCUUCGGGGUGAGAAGAAUGAAAUAUAAAUAUUGUAAAUAAAUAAUAAAUAACCCAGUUCAAAGCAGAUCUUGUGGGAUUUUCUCCUUGAUGUUCUGGGUAAUGUGGCUGUGUGGAAGGGCCCCAGGAACCCUUUGGGGAAGCCACACAGCCCGCUGGAUUCCCACAACAUGGCAGCAGGGCUUUCCUGAACACGCUCCAGAUACGGACUGGGCCCAAACGGAGGCAUUGUGACUUCCCUCAACCUCUUCGCCACAAGAUUUGAUCAGGUGAUGACGUUUAUUGAAAAACGACAGACUGCGUCUCAGUGAGUCAGUGAGAAAUUGGAAGCCCUGCUGGGAUGGAAAGGGACGGUGGGUGGGAGAGCCCUUAAAAUAGCAGAAUCUUAGAGUUGGAAGGGAUCCUCGGGGGCACCCAGUCCAAGGCUAUUCUGACAUGCAGGAAGACACAAGCCCUCCUGACAGAGGGCCAUCUGGCUUCUGCUUAAAAAUCUACAGAGAAGGAGAUGCCACUGGACUUUGAGGCGGCAUAUUUCAUUAGUAAACAUCUCUUACGCUUCUCUCUUGGGAAUAGAAAUACUCAUUGCACCCUUCUCUUGGGCAGAGCUGCCUUAAAAAUGGCAAUUUUUAAGUAAUAAAGCAUCUGAGAAUA